GCAAGGAUGAAUUUUCAUUUUGAACAGUCAUGAAAUAAUCUGAUCAUCUCCUCUAAGAAGUUCUGAGCUC